rnacentral:rRNA from 1 species
AUACGUAGGGAGCGAGCGUUGUCCGGAAUUACUGGGUGUAAAGGGUGCGUAGGCGGGACUGCAAGUCAGAUGUGAAAUGCCGGGGCUCAACCCCGGAGCUGCAUUUGAAACUGUGGUUCUUGAGUGCGGUAGAGGUAAGCGGAAUUCCUAGUGUAGCGGUGAACUGCGUAGAUAUUAGGAGGAACAUCGGUGGCGAAGGCGGCUUACUGGGCCUUUACUGACGCUGAGGCACGAAAGCGUGGGGAGCAAACAGGAUUAGAUACCCUGGUAGUCCACGCUGUAAACGAUGAUGACUAGGUGUGGGGGGACUGAACCCUUCCGUGCCGCAGUUAACACAAUAAGUCAUCCACCUGGGGAGUACGGCCGCAAGGUUGAAACUCAAAUGAAUUGACGGGG